rnacentral:piRNA from 1 species
UGUGCGUGUUCUAACUUCUACCACUGAAGUAU